rnacentral:lncRNA from 1 species
AUGUUGAUGACUAUAAACUUAAUAACAUUUUUUACGGCUUGUUUCCAGCAGAUCAAGCAAUUAAAGAACCAGUAGAAGACACUGACCCUAGCACUUUGUCCUCAGAAAAUAUAGAAAAGUAUCCUGUCCAAGAUACAGAAUUACCCAAAGAACCUUUUUAGAAAUAUUUUGAUCAAGAGAUCCAAACCUGACUAACUUUGAAGAAUAUUUGCCUUGUAGAUGAAGAAUAUCAAACAGAAAAAGUGACUUUGGAAAUUUCAUCCAUUAACAUUACAAGCUUAACAUCAGAUUCUGGCUUGAUACACCAGCCAGAAGAAGAUGAUGACACUCCAAGUUGUGCUGGUGAUUCACCUAUAGGUAAUGUUCUGCACAUUUUCAAAAUGUAUUUACUGCCUGAUUCCAGCUUUUUUUGUUGUUCUAAG